rnacentral:rRNA from 1 species
AUACGGAGGGACCAAGCGUUGUUCGGAAUCACUGGGCGUAAAGGGCGCGUAGGCGGAUUAUCAAGUCAGAGGUGAAAGCCCUGGGCUCAACCUGGGAACUGCCUUUGAAACUGAUAGUCUUGAGUCCGAGAGAGGAUGGCGGAAUUCCCAGUGUAGAGGUGAAAUUCGUAGAUAUUGGGAAGAACACCAGUGGCGAAGGCGGCCAUCUGGCUCGGUACUGACGCUGAGGCGCGAAAGCGUGGGGAGCAAACAGGAUUAGAAACCCCAGUAGUCC